CGGUCAUUCAUCCCCUUCAUUUUUCUCUCGACUUAUCCGCUUCUUCUCUUUCCUCUUUCCUCAUCUCUGCAGAAGAUGGUUCUCUAUUAGGGUUUCAGUUUGAGGAUUUGGAUUUGAAGUUUGGAUUUGAAGCUGAUUGUAGAAGAAAGUUCUUCUGUUAGGUUUUCAGUUUGAGGGUUUCGAUUUGAAGUUUCGAUUUGAAGAUGCUUGUAGAAGAUAGUUCAUCCACUAGGGUUUCAGUUUGAGGGUUUCGAUUUGAAGCAGAAGACUUAAUAGGAACAACUGGAGGUGGAGAGAUUCUUGGAAGAAGAAGUUGAUGCUGGGUUCCAACUUCUACUGAAUAAAGAGUUAGAACAUGAAGAACUGAAAAGAACUGAUCAGAGUUGAGCUUAGGAAGGUAUAAGUAUGGAAGUCUGAGAAGGUGAACGAACUAAAGGAAAAGGAAGGAGAGAACGAACUAAAGGAAAAGGAAGGCGAGUGUUAUGUUUGGCUUGAGUGAGCAUCUUCCAGUGGAGAGGUUGGAGUGCCAAAGUUUUUGUCCUCAUAUGUGCAUAGUGUAUACAUGUUUUUGUGGUGUAUGCCACUUCUUUAUUAUGUGUAUAUUACUUUUGUAUUAUGUACAGACUUAGGCAAACCUAAACAUAAUGAUAUAUAACAUAAUGAUGCAUGUAUGAUGUUUUGGUGUUGUUAUUAA